rnacentral:rRNA from 1 species
UACGUAGGGGGCUAGCGUUGUUCGGAAUUACUGGGCGUAAAGCGCGCGCAGGCGGUUCUUUAAGUCAGUGGUGAAAGCCCGGAGCUCAACUCCGGAACUGCCAUUGAAACUGUGGAACUUGAGUCCGGGAGAGGUGAGUGGAACUGCGAGUGUAGAGGUGAAAUUCGUAGAUAUUCGCAAGAACACCAGUGGCGAAGGCGGCUCACUGGCCCGGUACUGACGCUGAGGCACGAAAGCGUGGGGAGCAAACAGG